GGAGGGAUGCCGGAGCGGCCGAACGGGGCGGUCUUGAAAACCGCUGUGCGCGAGCACCGUGGGUUCGAAUCCCACUCCCUCCG
rnacentral:tRNA from 1 species